UACGUAGGGGGCAAGCGUUGUCCGGAUUUAUUGGGCGUAAAGAGCUCGUAGGUGGUUCGGUAAGUCGGAUGUGAAAUCUCCAGGCUCAACCUGGAGGGGUCAUUCGAUACUGCCGUGACUAGAGUUCGGUAGGGGAGUGUGGAAUUCCUGGUGUAGCGGUGAAAUGCGCAGAUAUCAGGAGGAACACCGGUGGCGAAGGCGGUUCUCUGGGCAUGUCCUGACGCUGAGGAGCGAAAGUGUGGGGAGCGAACAGG
rnacentral:rRNA from 1 species